UACGAAGGGGGCUAGCGUUGUUCGGAUUUACUGGGCGUAAAGCGCACGUAGGCGGAUCGUUAAGUCAGGGGUGAAAUCCUGGAGCUCAACUCCAGAACUGCCUUUGAUACUGAGGAUCUUGAGUUCGGGAGAGGUGAGUGGAACUGCGAGUGUAGAGGUGAAAUUCGUAGAUAUUCGCAAGAACACCAGUGGCGAAGGCGGCUCACUGGCCCGAUACUGACGCUGAGGCACGAAAGCGUGGGGAGCAAACAGG
rnacentral:rRNA from 1 species